UAAGAAUAUCUCACUCAUUGUGAAAAGGA
rnacentral:piRNA from 1 species